CCUACGGGAGGCAGCAGUGGGGAAUAUUGGACAAUGGGGACAACCCUGAUCCAGCCAUGCCGCGUGGGUGAAGAAGGGCUUAAGGUUGUAAAGUUCUUUCACCGGGGAAGAUAAUGACGGUACCCGGAGAAGAAGCCCCGGCUAACUCCGUGCCAGCAGCCGCGGUAAU
rnacentral:rRNA from 1 species